rnacentral:rRNA from 1 species
GAUGAACGCUGGCGGCGUGCUUAACACAUGCAAGUCGAACGAUGAUCCCAGCUUGCUGGGGGAUUAGUGGCGAACGGGUGAGUAACACGUGAGUAACCUGCCCUUGACUCUGGGAUAAGCCUGGGAAACUGGGUCUAAUACCGGAUAUGACUCCUCAUCGCAUGGUGGGGGGUGGAAAGCUUUUGUGGUUUUGGAUGGACUCGCGGCCUAUCAGCUUGUUGGUGGGGUAAUGGCCUACCAAGGCGACGACGGGUAGCCGGCCUGAGAGGGUGACCGGCCACACUGGGACUGAGACACGGCCCAGACUCCUACGGGAGGCAG